UAUGGAGUAGGAUAAGUUUUAAUCUAUGAGGUUCAUGUCCUUAAGAUGUCUUCGGGAUCUCUGUUU
rnacentral:tRNA from 1 species